UACGGGGGGGGCAAGCGUUGUUCGGAAUUACUGGGCGUAAAGGGCUCGUAGGCGGCCAACUAAGUCGGAUGUGAAAUCCCCAGGCUUAACCUGGGAACUGCAUCCGAUACUGGAUGGCUUGAAUCCGGGAGAGGGAUGCGGAAUUCCAGGUGUAGCGGUGAAAUGCGUAGAUAUCUGGAGGAACACCGGUGGCGAAGGCGGCAUCCUGGACCGGCAUUGACGCUGAGGAGCGAAAGCCAGGGGGGCAAACGGG
rnacentral:rRNA from 1 species